rnacentral:tRNA from 1 species
ACGACCGUAGCUCAGUUGGUUAGAGCACCACCACUCUCUAUGACCCGGUCCAGCAGUCAGUGAUUCGGAUCCACUCGGUCGUACCA